CGUCUAUAUACGUAUAGCAUAUCAAUAAGCGGAGGAAAAGAAACUAACUAGGAUUCCCUUAGUAACGGCGAGUGAAGCGGGAAGAGCUCAAAUUUGAAAUCUUCAAGGUUUUACCUUGACGAAUUGUAGUUUAAAGAAGUGUUUUCUGUUGGAGUUUUCGGUAAAAGUUCUUUGGAAUAGGACAUCAUAGAGGGUGAGAAUCCCGUAUUUGACCAUUAUUUUCAACUUUGUGAUACACUUUCAAAGAGUCGGAUUGUUUGGGAAUGCAGUCCAAAAUGGGUGGUAAAUUUCAUCUAAAGCUAAAUAUUGGCGAGAGACCGAUAGCGAACAAGUACCGUGAGGGAAAGAUGAAAAGAACUUUGAAAAGAGAGUUAAACAGUACGUGAAAUUGUCAAAAGGGAAGCGUUUGACACCAGUGUUGUUUUCUCGAAAAUCAAUUAAAAAUGGUGGGAUUUUGUGUUGUAUUGACUUUAUCAGCUUUCUGCACUUUUUUCUUGUCUUUUUUAAUGCACUUUUCGUUUAACAAGUCAACAUCAAUUUCUUUUGUUGUAAAAGGGUCAUUGGAAGGUGGCUUUCUUUUCGGAGAAAGUGUUUAUAGCCUUUGGCCUCUGCAAUCGGAGAGAUUGAGGUCUGCAGCGUAGAUCCUUCGGGGUUAGAUGCAUUUGUGCUAAGUUAUAGCCUUUCAUAGACAACUUGUUGACUAUGAUCAGUCAUGUAGCUUACUCGCUUAUGUUAUUUUACCUACGCUUAGGAUGUUGACGAUCAGCUGAGCGCG
rnacentral:rRNA from 1 species